rnacentral:rRNA from 1 species
UACUCCUACGGGAGGCAGCAGUGGGGAAUAUUGGGCAAUGGGCGAAAGCCUGACCCAGCAACGCCGCGUGAAGGAAGAAGGUUUUCGGAUUGUAAACUUCUUUUAUCAGGGACGAAGAAAGUGACGGUACCUGAUGAAUAAGCCACGGCUAACUACGUGCCAGCAGCCGCGGUAAUACGUAGGUGGCAAGCGUUAUCCGGAUUUACUGGG